GCCAACUCUAUCCAUUCCCCAGCUGCGUCCCAGGAGCAGAACCGAAGGGUCUGUGGGGAGCUGGACUGGAGCCUGCCUUGCUGUGCUGCAUCCUUCGGUAGAGAAUCAGCCCUGCCAAGAGAUCUCACAAAACUAACGGAUCUGAGGACAGUCUCCAGUGACCCUGAGGGCUCCGUCUCCGCAGCAGGAUCGGCCUCCACACACACGCCACCGCACUCCCACCAGGACACGACAGGCA
rnacentral:lncRNA from 1 species